rnacentral:rRNA from 1 species
AUGAACGCUGUCUACGGGCUUAACACAUGCAAGUCGAGGGGAAACGACGGGGAAGCUUGCUUCCCCGGGCGUCGACCGGCGCACGGGUGAGUAACGCGUAUCCAACCUGCCUCUGACUGAGGGAUAACCCGUCGAAAGUCGGCCUAAUACCUCAUGGCAUCGUCUGCGGGCAUCCAACGACGAUUAAAGAUUUCAUCGGUCAGGGAUGGGGAUGCGUCUGAUUAGCUUGUUGGCGGGGUAACGGCCCACCAAGGCUACGAUCAGUAGGGGUUCUGAGAGGAAGGUCCCCCACAUUGGAACUGAGACACGGUCCAAACUCCUACGGGAGGCAGCAGUGAGGAAUAUUGGUCAAUGGGCGGGAGCCUGAACCAGCCAAGUAGCGUGCAGGAUGACGGCCCUAUGGGUUGUAAACUGCUUUUAUGCGGGGAUAAAGUGAGGGACGUGUCCUUCAUUGCAGGUACCGCAUGAAUAAGGACCGGCUAAUUCCGUG